AUUGAACGCUGGCGGCAUGCUUUACACAUGCAAGUCGAACGGUAACAGGCCGCAAGGAGCUGUCGAGUGGCGAACGGGUGAGUAAAGCAUCGGAACGUGCCCAGUCGUGGGGGAUAACGCAGCGAAAGCUGCGCUAAUACCGCAUACGAUCUGUGGAUGAAAGCGGGGGACCGAAAGGCCUCGCGCGAUUGGAGCGGCCGAUGGCAGAUUAGGUAGUUGGUGGGGUAAAGGCCCACCAAGCCAACGAUCUGUAGCUGGUCUGAGAGGACGACCAGCCACACUGGGACUGAAACACGGCCCAGACUCCGUCGGGAGGCAGCAUGGUGGAAUUUUGGACAAUGUACGCAAGCCUGAUCCAGCAAUGCCGCGGGCAGGAAGAAGGCCUUCGGGUCGUAAACUGCUUUUGUACGGAACGAAACGGCUCUGGUUAAUACCUGGGGCUAAUGACGGUACCGUAAGAAUAAGCACCGGCUAACUACGUGCCAGCCGCCGCGGUAAGAC
rnacentral:rRNA from 1 species